rnacentral:lncRNA from 1 species
UUUUUUCCUUGUUCUUCUUCUUGUAAAUAUUCUUUAAACCUGACUUUAGGCAAAAGGGUACAUUCUUUUUGCUAAUAACUCAAAAUAGAAAUGCAUGCCAAUGCCAUCCCCACAAAGAGGAGCCAUCUCCAUUACUACCCACUUAUCCAUUUGUCAAGGCAUGGAUUGGAAGGGAACACUUAUCAUUUCAUUACGUUGAAAA